UUUGAGGGCAAAUAAUCCAAAUGUCACGAGGAACUGGUAAUGGAAAGACUCAUAGUUUGUUCCACUCUAUCUAAAGCUGGGAUGAAAGCUGCCUCCAGACCCCCAACCCCACCCCCACCCCUCCCAUCACCUACGGCUCUUCCUCGCCUGCCCUGCCGUUGUGGCCCAGGAGGUUCCCGCUGCCCAAAAGCUCUCUCACCUCCACCUCUGCCAUGCCCGCGUCUGCAACGUCCCCCUCGACUCCUCCACCGCUUCCUCCAUCCGCCGCGGCCCAGGAGGUCCCCGCCACCCUCGAGCUCCUCCACUCCGUCUUCUCCGGGCACAUAGAGGACGCCGUAGCCCCUCCUCCCGUAGUUGGCCGGCCCUGAUCGGCCCGGCAGAGCGAGGCGGAGGGGGUGACGGGUGAUCCUGACGGUUUCAAAGAUCUAGGAUGGCUCCGCCUCUUCUUCCGUGACGAACGGUGCGAGAGGGACGUGACAGACGGCACCGACAGAGCGGGGUAGAAGAGGUGAUGGGUGAUCCAGGCAGUUUCGAAGAUCUGGGGUGGCUUCGCCUCCUCUUUCACGACGGACAGUCCCGCUGCAACUGCGGCGAAGGUUUUUUUUUUCUAACAUGGCGGAUGGAGGCCCUGCGUUGAUGCCAUGUGGCGAAUAAAGACACACCAACGCAUUUGCUCUGUUUUAUAUUAUAUAUAUUAGAUUUUUUUGUUAAGUACAUUAAGGACAUACGAGACGAAACUUUCUCACUUGUACGUGGACGUAUACACAUACGGCUUCUCUAUUUAGGCUGCAAACAAUUUCACUUGUUUCGUCGUAAGGUUGAUUCAUAAAUUAAAGAUCAAGCUUGGCCAAGGGAUUGGCCCAAA
rnacentral:lncRNA from 1 species